UACGUAGGGGGCAAGCGUUGUCCGGAUUUAUUGGGCGUAAAGAGCGUGUAGGCGGCCAUACAGGUCCGUUGUGAAAACUCGAGGCUCAACCUCGAGACGCCGAUGGAAACCGUCUGGCUAGAGUCCGGAAGAGGAGAGUGGAAUUCCUGGUGGUAGCGGUGAAAUGCGCAGAUAUCAGGAAGAACACCCGUGGCUAAGGCGGCUCUCUAGUACGGUACUGGCGCUGAGACGCGAAAGCGUGGGGAGCGAACAGG
rnacentral:rRNA from 1 species